rnacentral:rRNA from 1 species
AAUAUUGGACAAUGGGGGCAACCCUGAUCCAGCCAUGCCACGUGUGUGAAGAAGGACUUCGGAUUGUAAAGCACUUUAAGUUGGGAGGAAGGGCUUUAGGUUAAGAUCAUGAAGCUGUGACGUUACGAACAGACUAAGCACCGGCCAACCAUGUCCCAGCAGCCGAGGUACUACAGAGGUUGCAAGUGUUAAUCGGUAUUAAUGGGCGUAAAGCGAGCGUAGGUGGUGCAGUAAGAUGGGCGGGAAAUCCCCGGGCUUAACCUGGGAACUGCCUUCAUAACUACUGAGCUAGAGUACGGUAGAGGAUAUUGGAAUUUCCUGUGUAGCAGUGAAAUACGUAGAGAUAGGAAGGAACACCAGUGGCGAAGGCGACUACCAAGACUAAUACUGACACUGAGGUGCGAAAGCGUGGGGAGCAAAC